rnacentral:miRNA from 1 species
GUAAGUGGUUAUGAUCUGGAC